rnacentral:rRNA from 1 species
UACAGAGGUCUCAAGCGUUGUUCGGAUUUAUUGGGCGUAAAGAGCGUGUAGGCGGCCAUGUAGGUCCGUUGUGAAAACUCGAGGCUCAACCUCGAGACGCCGAUGGAAACCAUGUGGCUAGAGUCCGGAAGAGGAGAGUGGAAUUCCUGGUGUAGCGGUGAAAUGCGCAGAUAUCAGGAAGAACACCCGUGGCUAAGGCGGCUCUCUAGUACGGUACUGACGCUGAGACGCGAAAGCGUGGGGAGCGAACAGG